ensembl:snRNA U6 U6 spliceosomal RNA
AAGCUCAUGUUGGCAGCACAUAUACUAAAAUUGGAACAAUACAGAGAUUAGCAUGACCCCUGAACAAGGAUGACAUGCACAUUUCAUGGGGCAUUUUGUAUUUUU